GUUACACAUUGCAUCACGCAGCCUAUGAACUUGAGAGGAAACCCCAAUGUUGACAUUAUUUGUUCUAAAUAUUUUCAAUCAAUAGUAUCAUAAGCUUUUUGGAUCUCCACCUUUAUCAUACAUCUGGGUGAGAUAUUCUUCCUGUUAUAGGCCUUGACUAGUUCAUGUGCAAGAAUAAUGUUAUCUGCCACUUUUCUCCCAGGUACAAAUCCAGCUUGCGUUUCUGAGAUCACAGUUGAUAU
rnacentral:lncRNA from 1 species